GGGCACCCUGAUCCAGCAAUGCCGCGUGUGUGAAGAAGGCCUUCGGGUUGUAAAGCACUUUUGUCCGGAAAGAAAACGCUCUGGUUAAUACCCGGGGCGGAUGACGGUACCGGAAGAAUAAGCACCGGCUAACUACGUGCCAGCAGCCGCGGUAAUACGUAGGGUGCAAGCGUUAAUCGGAAUUACUGGGCGUAAAGCGUGCGCAGGCGGUCCGCUAAGACAGAUGUGAAAUCCCCGGGCUUAACCUGGGAACUGCAUUUGUGACUGGCGGGCUAGAGUAUGGCAGAGGGGGGUAGAAUUCCACGUGUAGCAGUGAAAUGCGUAGAGAUGUGGAGGAAUACCGAUGGCGAAGGCAGCCCCCUGGGCCAAUACUGACGCUCAUGCACGAAAGCGUGGGGAGCAAACA
rnacentral:rRNA from 6 species